rnacentral:rRNA from 1 species
AGUGAACGCUGGCGGUAGGCCUAACACAUGCAAGUCGAACGGCAGCACAGUAAGAGCUUGCUCUUACGGGUGGCGAGUGGCGGACGGGUGAGGAAUACAUCGGAAUCUACUUUUUCGUGGGGGAUAACGUAGGGAAACUUACGCUAAUACCGCAUACGACCUACGGGUGAAAGCAGGGGAUCUUCGGACCUUGCGCGAUUGAAUGAGCCGAUGUCGGAUUAGCUAGUUGGCGGGGUAAAGGCCCACCAAGGCGACGAUCCGUAGCUGGUCUGAGAGGAUGAUCAGGCAAACCGGAACUGAGGCACGGUCCAGACUCCUACGGGAGGGAGCAGUGGGGAAUAUUUGACAAUGGGCGCAAGCCUGAACCAGCCAUACCGGGGGGGGGAAAAAGGGCUUCGGGUUUUAAAGCCCUUUUGUUGGGAAAAAAAAACAGGAGGUUAAAACCCCGCUGUUCUGACGGUACCCAAAGAAUAAGCACCGGCUAACUUCGUG